ACCGGCAAACGGGUGCGGAACACGUACAGAACCUUCCUUCGAGCGGGGAAUAGCCCGGAGAAAUCCGGAUUAAUACCCCAUAGUAAAUUGGAGAGGCAUCUCUUUGGUUUUAAAGAUUUAUCACUUGAAGAUGGCUGUGCGCCUGAUUAGGUAGUUGGCGGGGUAACGGCCCACCAAGCCUUCGAUCAGUAACUGGCGUGAGAGCGCGACCAGUCACACGGGCACUGAGACACGGGCCCGACUCCUACGGGAGGCAGCAGUAAGGAAUAUUGGUCAAUGGACGCAAGUCUGAACCAGCCAUGCCGCGUGGAGGAUGAAGGCCCUCUGGGUUGUAAACUUCUUUUAUUUGGGACGAAAAAAGGGAAUUCUUUCCCGUCUGACGGUACCAGAUGAAUAAGCACCGGCUAACUCCGUGCCAGCAGCCGCGGUAAUACGGAGGGUGCAAGCGUUAUCCGGAUUUACUGGGUUUAAAGGGUGCGCAGGCGGAUAUGUAAGUCAGUGGUGAAAUCUCUAGGCUUAACCUGGAAAUUGCCGUUGAUACUAUAUAUCUUGAAUGCUGUGGAGGUAAGCGGAAUAUGUCAUGUAGCGGUGAAAUGCUUAGAUAUGACAUAGAACACCUAUUGCGAAGGCAGCUUACUACGCAGAUAUUGACGCUCAUGCACGAAAGCGUGGGGAUCAAACAGGAUUAGAUACCCUGGUAGUCCACGCCCU
rnacentral:rRNA from 1 species